CCUACGGGAGGCAGCAGUGAGGGAUAUUGCGCAAUGGGCGAAAGCCUGACGCAGCGACGCCGCGUGGGCGAGGAAGGCCUUCGGGUUGUAAAGCCCUUUUGGCAGGGAAGAGCAAGGACUGUACCUGCAGAACAAGUCACGGCUAACUACGUGCCAGCAGCCGCGGUAAAACGUAGGUGGCGAGCGUUAUCCGGAAUUACUGGGCGUAAAGCGUCCGUAGGCGGCCUGGUAAGUUGGGUGUGAAAGGUUGAAGCUCAACUGCAAGAUUGCACCCAAUACUGCCAGGCUUGAGUGUCGGAGAGGAGAAUGGAACUACCAGUGUAGCGGUGAAAUGCGUUGAUAUUGGUAGGAACACCAGUGGCGAAGGCGGUUCUCGGGACGACAACUGACGCUGAGGGACGAAAGCCAGGGGAGCGAACGGGAUUAGAUACCCCGGUAGU
rnacentral:rRNA from 1 species